GUCUUUUCAUCUUUAGAUUGAAUUCUUUCUUAGAACUUAGAUAUUAGGAUGAAUUCCUUCAAUUUUAGCUUAAAUUCUUGAUUUUUAACUCUGCUAAAAUAUAUGGUCUGCCUACUACAGUCCUAUAUAUUAAAAAAAAAUAAAGUAUUCUUUAAAGUCAAUGGUGCAGAACAUUUAUCAUCUGUUGAUGCAUUUAUCCGCCGGUGAUUUCUCUUGUAUAAAAGCCAUUUAAUGGAGUCUGUGCCAAACUUUCUGCAUCCCAUGUGAGUGUACGAGACCGGGAAAACAGCUUCUAUCCGAAGAAAAUGUCUCUGCUCUUCAUUUUAUCAUGUUUAUCAAUUAUUUUGUAUUUAAUUCUCCGUUGGUAUAACCAUCACCAAUGAGUACUAUUCGACUUGACUCGUCUUUUUUUUUUUUUCCCUCAAACAUAUUAGAUUCAUAGAAGCGUCAAAUUGGCAGAGAAUGCAAUACAAAGGUGAUGCAUGCAUUCGACUUGACUUGUACGUUUUUGAGAUAGGAGAUGCAUGCAUCACUUUCUCGCUAUUGUCAGUAAACUUAGCGUUUCAUUUAGAAACAUUUAAAUAUUUGACACCUUAGCAAGACCCUGGCUGUAGGUGUUUUUAUUAUAAUGUUCCCCACAUGUUGUACAGCAUUAGAAAACAAGUUAUUUUUGCAAGAAAACCCAUGUGUGCUACAUGUCGAAUUGUUUCAAAGCUAAACCUUUAAAUUUAUUAGUGCUUACUGCAUUGCAUAUAAUUAUUCUUGUGAGAGGGGAUAAUGUUGGUGCCCUUUUCCAUUAUUUUUGUUCAUCAAAACAACAGGUUCAGAUCAUUGUAUUUGAUGUGCCCCCUUGAGAACAGAUGUUACUUUUGCAUUGUGUUUUAGCUAAAAUGCUUUUCUUUGUUCAAUCUUUGCUUGUAUUAUAUUUUUUCUGUGCGGCAUUGGUUUCUUCUCUCUGUGAAUUCCUUCAUACAAUUUUAUGCUUUCUCCCUAGUCUUGCAGUUCUUAAUUGCUUUGUCUAGGAAAAGCUAUUCUUAGUUGUCCUUCUCAGAAGUAAUUGGUUUACUUGAUGAAAGUCUUUGUAUAACAUGUUACCAAAGUAAACAUAAACAUAUUUUAGAUUGACAAAGACGUUUUCUUCUGAAGGAAACAUGUUUGCAAAAUUGUAAAAGGGAAUCCCUGGUCAUGGAUUUUUUUUUUUUAAAAAUAACAAUAAUGAUAACAGACACUUGGAAAAAAAAAGUGAUCUGUAAGGUCUUGUAUUUUAGUUAUUGACUAACGAAUCCUAGAUCUGCUUAAUUUGUAAUUUU